rnacentral:lncRNA from 1 species
CAUUGAGAAAAUUUACAAUGCCUCUUGAUAAAUGGAUAACAUAAUUACAACAAUUUAUCACAUUUUAAAAACUAAAUAACAAUACUAUUUGAUUAGGCUUAAUUAUAUGUGUUGAUCGGUUGCUUGCAAGACUGAUAUUAAAUUUUGUAUUUUCAGAUGUUCAGCGAUUUGGGGCAUUGGAUGAGACGUGUAGGGUUUUGGUAGAAUUACAUUUAAAACACAAAACGCAAUGCUUUCCUCGUUUGAACUCAACAAUUCUCAUAGAAUUUUGAGGAACUUUUGAAACAAAAAGUAAUCACUCAGUUUAUUAACAACAUGGUUGAGGGAAAGAAAGUUCUGAUUUACAGUUCGAUACAACAUCCAGGCCAAUCAAGUAAUAUUAAGCAAAUUUUAGUUUGAAAAAUAAAAAACAGCCACAAUUUAGUAAUAUUUUACGAUGACUGACAAUCUGAUGAUACAUUAAAAUAUUAACUAAGAAUUAAAUUGUUUAAAAUUUCAAAAAUGAUCAUUUACGGUUUACAGCAGAGAAAUGGGCAGAGGGUAGUUUUGAACAUUUUAACAUCAAACAUGAAAGGUGUGGUUGACAAAAUCAUUCGUAACUUACUGAGCUCUUUCCUACUGUUAAAUAGAGACAAGUUGGGAAAAAAUCCGAUUUUGUAUUUUCCUUUAUUAAAGCGGCUUACAAAAUGAUUGAAUGAUAGUAUGCUGCGAUCACCAAGAGAGAUGAGCUCAACAAGGAAUACAACAAAUAAAUUGAAAACUGUUAAAAUACUAAACUCUUAAUUAAAUUUUUUUUAUUCUUUUUAUUUUCUUUUGUAGAAAAACUUUAUGACAAGGGCACCUGAAACAGAGCUGACAAGUGACAAUGCUUCAAGAGUCUUUUGCGAACGCAUACUAAGUGCUUGUGCAGCUAAUGGAGCAAAACGGAAAUUAUUAUAUUUUUUUUUUGGAAGAGAGAAGACGACAGAGGAGAGGACGAAGUUGCAUCGAAACUUGGUUAUGGAAUUGCUGCAAUGUGGCUCUCAUGUUAGAGCACGCUACUAAUUGCUGCAGUGGAUGCAAUUACUAUUGAUCUAACAGCAAAAUCAUCAUAGAGGAUGGUUUUUCAGUGCAUAAUCAGCGCCUGUUGAAAGUGGGUCACCUUACUUCUUUCCUGUGCCUUAACUACCCAACAAGUCAGGUGUUUUACAUUCAUAGAGUUCUGCAAACUAGGAUUCACAUGGUUAAGCUAUGUUUAUUUCUGGAAGAGAUGGGGCAGAAAAAACAUUUGAUCGUGCAAAGAGGGGCAGAAUUCCAUGCACAGCAUAUAACUGGAUUUGGAUUCUCUUUAUGACAAAGCGAUGGUAAAAAUGCUGGGUAAGAAAUAAAAAAAACUAGAUGACAGAAAUUGACCCUGAUGAAUUUAGAAAAAUGGUAAUGUCAUAAUAUUGAAAAAAAUGCGAACAAUUUAAAGUCAAGUCACCUUGCUAUUCGAUUUCAUUCUUUAUCUUCCAACAUAUUUGCCACAGCUGUGUUAAGAGUACAAAUCCAUGACCAUGAGUGACUUAGACGGUAAAUAGAAAGGCAGACAUCUUUUGUAAAUGAAAAACUCAAAUAUCAAAGCCUUGCGACCGAUGAGAGAGAUAUUAAGAACAGUUGCUUGGUAAAAGGUAGUACUGAGAAGUAUAGAAGCUUUAAAUUAUAGAAAAAAAG